AUAGCCUUACACACUAAAUUUCCUAUUUGACUUAAGCAUCGGAGAGGCAACGAGCACACACCUCGUUGCCUUUGUUUCAGGUAUCAGAAGACCGUUCGUGUUCACCGAAAUUUAGAGUUCAAAGAUUCAAUUCGAGAUCUAACAGGUACAAUUUUUUGAUAGCUUCAUUAAGGAAAAUGCUACUUUACAUAAUAUGGUGUUCAUUCCUCUCGUGCUCUCACACGAAGGGAGAUCCACUGCAGAUAAAUUAUAUUUUAUUCGAAAUGAGUCCCACUCCAUGUGAGGGGGUGAGCACUAGAAUAAACACCAUAAUGUACAUAUAGCAUCACCCAAAAACUAAUGUCAAUGACAAGUCCAAAAAAACAUUGAUACGAAGCAAAUCAGCGAAAGAAAAUCACAAUGGAAUGGUGAGAAGUGAGCUUGAUUAACAAACUCAAAUGCAUAAUUGAAUGGAAAGGUAAUUUGUAGAACUUUAUAAAUAUCUAUUUUUCAUUAUUAUUUAAAAAACAAAAACAGCGAAACCCUAGAUUUUGCUUAAAUGGUAAAAUCUUAUGAAGAAAGCCUAACGACUAAAACUGGCAAAAUAACUUUAUUAAAGUCUUUAAUUGAAAUGUAAUUAUAUUAACACCACUUUUUUUUUUCAACAAAUUUUUAUUAAAAUUAAAGUAAUCAAUCGUUGCACUUACGCCCCCAAAUUUUUUUCUUUGCAUUCUUGUAGUCAACUUUGCAUUACUUAGGCAUCUUGUUUUUGGUGUAUUUUUCGGCCAAAAGAAUCUAUUUCGGUGUAAAAAAGACUUAUUGUCUAUCAUAGUUUUAAAUAAGAAAAAAAAACAAAUAAGAUAAGUUAGACAAAAUAUUUUUUCUUCAUUUCGAAGCAUGUCAACAAAAUAUUUAGACAAAAGACCAUCGCCAUAGAUAAAUGAUCUGUUCAGUAAUGAUUAUGAGAAUUGAUUUUUUGACCUUUACAGAGAAAAGUAUAUCUUGCUUGUGAGAGAAGAGGUCAAAAAUAACGAUUGGAAUAGUGAAAUUACUGUCAAAAAAAUGAUUUUUUUGGAUGAAAAAUUGCUACCAAACAAAGGCAACAUGUGUUAAUUAAUAGAAAGUUAAGGAUAUAUGGGGAAAAAAGUUUGGUCUAUAAGUGCAAAAUGAGGAAAGAUUGGAGACUUUUAUUACAAAUAAAAUGUGAAGUAGUUAACAAAAAUUGUACUGUGAGUACAAUUAUCUUAAUUAAAAAAAAAAAAAAAAGAAAGAGUGAAAAAAUAAGUGAAAUAAAUAUUUGAUGUUUGCGUCCAUCAUAUUUGUUGAGUCCCCUCAUGGACAAACUUGAGACAAUUUCAUUUAGGAUCUGUUUGAUUGCAAAGAUAAAAUUUAGGUUGAAAGAAAACGAAUUUUAGAAAAUUCAAUUGCAUAGAAAUUGUUUUACUAGGAAUUGUCAAUUAUUGUGUUUGAUUUGUAUAAUUUUUCACGUGAAAAAUGUUAAAAUAAAAGUUUUUUUUUUCAUUUGACUUUAUUUUACAUGAAAAUUAUCAAUUAAAGGAAUAAAAUUUACUGACAUUGGGGAUAGAAUUUGUUUCCAUUGCCAAAACAAAAAUUAUAUAUCUUUUGGUGCUUGUUUGACUUUGUUUUACAUAAAAAUUGUCAAUUAAAGGAAAAAUAUUUUUUAUAAUUAUGAUAGAAUUUGUUUCCAUUGCAAAAAAAAUAAAAAAUUUUAAAAAAAAAAUUGGCCAACAGCCUGGAAAAUGAAUUCUCACCAUCAAUUUGGUGGGAAAUGGCUGAAGUGGCAUGAAAGUUGAAAAAUGAAUUGCCUAGAAAAAAACCUAUUAAACAUAUAUUUUUGGUUUAUGGUGGAAAUCAAUUUCCAUUUUCCAUGGAAAAGGGGCUUAUAAAACAACCCCUUAUUGCCUUAAUAUUUUGCUCUUAUUUAUUCCCAAAAAAAAAAAAAAUAAUAAUAAUAAUAAAUUGUUUGAUAAACUCGCUCUCUAAUCACAAGCAUGCCCAUAAAAGGUGAAUCACACAGUUAUAAAAUGAAGUAAAUUCCAUUCAUAGAGCCAAUGCAAUUCCAUAUAAUAUUAUAUCUUCAUUUUCUCCCACCUAUAGCAUUUUAGACACAAGGAAUCCCAUGAAACGACGAUUGAACGAGUCUAGUCCCAUUGAAUUUCUCUGUGAAAAGUCCAUUCAGACGGAUUCAAGGUGGUU
rnacentral:lncRNA from 1 species